rnacentral:rRNA from 1 species
UACGAAGGGGGCUAGCGUUGUUCGGAAUUACUGGGCGUAAAGCGUAUGUAGGCGGAUCAUUAAGUCGGGGGUGAAAUCCCGAGGCUCAACCUCGGAACUGCCUUCGAUACUGGCGAUCUUCGAGUCCGGGAGAGGUGAGUGGAACUCCGAGUGUAGAGGUGAAAUUCGUAGAUAUUCGGAAGAACACCAGUGGCGAAGGCGGCUCACUGGCCCGGUACUGACGCUGAGACGCGAAAGCGUGGGGAGCGAGCAGG